UACCAGCACCCCGAGUGGUCGGGACGUUUUAUUGGGCCUAAAGCAUCCGUAGCCGGUUCUACAAGUCUUCCGUUAAAAUCCACCUGCUUAACAGAUGGGCUGCGGAAGAUACUAUGGAGCUAGGAGGCGGGAGAGGCAAGCGGUACUCGAUGGGUAGGGGUAAAAUCCGUUGAUCCAUUGAAGACCACCAGUGGCGAAGGCGGCUUGCCAGAACGCGCUCGACGGUGAGGGAUGAAAGCUGGGGGAGCAAACCGG
rnacentral:rRNA from 1 species